CACCCAAACAAUUUGGGCUUCAAUGUAAAACGUAACCCGACACUCUACAAACCCAGGCCCAUAAUCCAUGAAGAUUUAGGGUUCCCUAAAUACUACGCCACACCCCUUUUCCACACAAUCAAUCUCAUCACAGUUUCACACCGUCGGCUAGGGUUUCAUAAUCUAACCAGAAAAGGGUAAAACUUACGCUUUCCGAUCACCAUGAGAGCCAAGUGGAAGAAGAAGAGAAUGAGGAGAUUGAAGAGGAAGCGCCGAAAGAUGAGGCAGAGAUCUAAGUAAUCUGUUUGUUGCUAAUCAUCAUCGGUAUCGUAUUAGUUUCUGUUUUAUGUUGUUUGUUUGGAUUUCUCCUACUCUUUAGUUGGAUUGUUAUUUGGAUACCGAGAUUAUAAUCAUACCGUUUUAUUUCAUA